AUGGAAUGAGUACACUCUAAAUCCUUUAACGAGGAUCGAUUGGAGGGCAAGUCUGGUGCCAGCAGCCGCGGUAAUUCCAGCUCCAAUAGCGUAUGCUAAAGCUGCUGCGGUUAAAAAGCUCGUAGUUGGAUCUCAGUUACGGGCGGGUGGUGCAUCUACCCGAUGUGACAGCCCGAUCUGAACAUCUUACCUUCUAUCCUCUGGUGUCCUUCACUGGAUGCCUUUGGGUGGUCGGUGCAUUUACUUUGAAAAAAUUGGAGUGCUCAACGCAGGCGAAGUGCCUGAACACUUAUGCAUGGAAUAAUAGAACAAGACCCCGUUUCUGUUCUGUUGGUUUUUGGAAAACGAGGUAAUGAUCAAGAGGGACAGACGGGGGCAUUCGUAUUGCGGCGCUAGAGGUGAAAUUCUUGGACCGUCGCAAGACGAACUACAGCGAAAGCAUUUGCCAAGAAUGUUUUCAUUGAUCAAGAACGAAAGUUAGAGGUUCGAAGGCGAUCAGAUACCGCCCUAGUUCUAACCAUAAACGAUGCCAACCAGCAAUCCGCCUGAGUUACUCCAAUGACUCUGCGGGCAGCUUCCGGGAAACCAAAGUAUUUGGGUUCCGGGGGAAGUAUGGUUGCAAAGCUGAAACUUAAAGGAAUUGACGGAAGGGCACCACCAGGAGUGGAGCCUGCGGCUCAAUUUGACUCAACACGGGAAAACUUACCCGGCCCGGACACUGGGAGGAUUGACAGAUUGAGAGCUCUUUCUUGAUCGG
rnacentral:rRNA from 1 species